rnacentral:pre_miRNA from 1 species
AAUAAAUCAAUCUUUCACUUUUUAUCUGCAAUGUUUGACUCUUCGUCUUAUUUGAAAACUACGAUUAAUAUUUUUGUUUUUAUUAGAUGAUAAAUCAUGAAUAGUACUUUAAGUGUGACUAUUUUUUUCAAAUUUCUUGAAAAUUUUUUAAAUAAGAUGGAUGGUCAAACGCUGGACACGAAAACCAAAG